rnacentral:lncRNA from 1 species
GCAAACUUGUAGGAGCUCAAGAGAUGGCAUAGUGAGCAAGAAGCCGUGUGGUAUGGGUGUGAAGACUUGGGUCCUGAUCCCAGCACCCACAUAAUAAGCCAGGCACCGCUGUCCUCCGGUAACCCCAGCACCUACAGCACUCACAGGCUGCCAGCCCAGCUCUGGAUUCAGGGAGAGCCUGUAGGGAGGGAAUAAGCCAUGUAAAUGAAGUCACUUUCUCAGCCUCAUUGUAAAUGAAAAGAGACACGGGCCUGGAAAGCAGCCACAGAGAGAAUGAUGUCCACAAGGAAAUCAACAGUUUAAUGAACACGAGAUAAAGGUGACCCGGAGUUGCCAUCAGAGCCAGAUAAAGAGGGAGGAGGCCAUUAUGACAACGUAGACCUGUCUCACACAGCAAUCGCUUCACAAGUACUGGGAAGCCCAGAGUCUGUCGAUGCCAGUUCUCCCAAAAUUAGAGAGUCUGCAGUGUGGACCGGUUUGCUCAUCAGCACCAGUGAAUUAAUGAGCAGAUCCAACCCUGACCCUUCUG